rnacentral:rRNA from 1 species
CUUGGUUUUUCGCUGACCAGUGGCGCACGGGUGCGUAACGCGUAUACCAUCUGCCUUUAAGCGGGGAAUAGCCCAUGGAAACGUGGAUUAAUACCCCAUAGUAUAUAGACUUCACCUGGAGACUAUAUUAAACAUUUAUGGCUUAAAGAUGAGUAUGCGUCCUAUUAGUUAGUUGGUAAGGUAACGGCUUACCAAGACCGCGAUAGGUAGGGGUCCUGAGAGGGAGAUCCCCCACACUGGUACUGAGACACGGACCAGACUCCUACGGGAGGCAGCAGUGAGGAAUAUUGGACAAUGGAGGCAACUCUGAUCCAGCCAUGCCGCGUGCAGGAAGACGGCCCUAUGGGUUGUAAACUGCUUUUAUACGGGAAGAACCACAUCUACGUGUAGAUGCUUGACGGUACCGUAUGAAUAAGGACCGGCUAACUCCGUGCCAGCAGCCGCGGUAAUACGGAGGGUCCAAGCGUUAUCCGGAAUCAUUGGGUUUAAAGGGUCCGUAGGCGGAAUAAUAAGUCAGUGGUGAAAGUCUGCAGCUCAACUGUAGAAUUGCCAUUGAUACUGUUGUUCUUGAAUUAUUAUGAAGUGGUUGGAAUGAGUAGUGUAGCGGUGAAAUGCAUAGAUAUUACUCAGAACACCUAUUGCGAAGGCAGAUCACUAAUAAUAUAUUGACGCUGAGGGACGAAAGCGUAGGUAGCGAACAGGAUUAGAUACCCUGGUAGUCUACGCCGUAAACGAUGGUUACUAGCUGUCCGGCCUAAUUGAGGGCUGGGUGGUUAAGCGAAAGUGAUAAGUAACCCACCUGGGGAGUACGUUCGCAAGAAUGAAACUCAAAGGAAUUGACGGGGGCCCGCACAAGCGGUGGAGCAUGUGGUUUAAUUCGAUGAUACGCGAGGAACCUUACCAGGGCUUAAAUGCAGUCUGACAGGUCUGGAAACAGACCCUUCUUCGGACAGAUUGCAAGGUGCUGCAUGGUUGUCGUCAGCUCGUGCCGUGAGGUGUCAGGUUAAGUCCUAUAACGAGCGCAACCCCUGUGGUUAGUUGCCAGCGAGUCAUGUCGGGAACUCUAGCCAGACUGCCGGUGCAAACCGCGAGGAAGGUGGGGAUGACGUCAAAUCAUCACGGCCCUUACGUCCUGGGCCACACACGUGCUACAAUGGUAGGGACAGAGGGCAGCUACCCCGCGAGGGGAUGCGAAUCUUCAAACCCUAUCACA